rnacentral:rRNA from 1 species
AACGUAGGAGACAAACGUUAUCCGGAGUUACUGGGCGUAAAGGGCGUGCAGGUGGUCUGUUAAGUCUGGCGUGAAAGCUCUCGGCUAAACCGGGAGAGGUCGUUGGAUACUGGCGGACUAGAGGACGGUAGAGGCGUGUGGAAUUCCGGGUGUAGUGGUGAAAUGCGUAGAGAUCCGGAGGAACACCAGUGGCGAAGGCGGCCUGCUGGGCAGUAGCUGACGCUGAAGCGCGACAGCGUGGGGAGCAAACAGG